rnacentral:tRNA from 1 species
GCGGGAGUAGCUCAGUUGGCAGAGCGCAAGCCUUCCAAGCUUGAUGUCGCGGGUUCGACUCCCGUCUCCCGCUCCA